rnacentral:misc_RNA from 1 species
GAGUUGCUCUAGCUCGUUCUAUAAUUUUUGAUACCACCAAAGACGUAGUAGAGCCAGAGGUGCUCUUGUAUGAUGAACCAACAGCUGGACUUGAUCCGAUUGCAUCAACCGUUGUAGAAGAUCUCAUUCGCUCGGUUCACGUGGCAGGCGAGGAUGCACUUGGGAAGCCUGGGAAGAUUGCAUCAUAUGUUGUUGUCACACAUCAACACAGUACUAUUAAAAGAGCUGUCGACAGGCUAAUAUUUCUUUAUGAAGGUAAGGUUGUCUGGCAGGGAAUGACUCAUGAGUUCUCCACAUCAACUAAUCCUAUUGUUCGGCAGUUUGCAUCAGGGAGUUUGGAUGGUCCUAUUAGAUAUUAGCUUCUGCAACCAAAACAAAUACAAAACGUACUCAGUCUUACUCGCAGCGUUGAUUUUACCUACCAGCUGAACUUGGGUGCUUCAAGGCUGACCUUGUCAAAGCAACAAAAAAGAGAUCAAUGCCUAAAGAGUAGUCACACUUGAAGCUCUUAUUUUGCUGAGCCUGCUUACAUGAAUGUGCGCGUCAUAGAAGGAGUUUCUGGUUUUAUUUUACUCUUGUUCUUCCCUCUUAUUUGUUUUUCACAUUCAUCUUUGUAACUGGUCUCUAUCAUUUUUAAUGCUAGCAACUUGAUAGUAAGGUGUCUCAUGUUAAAAUGAAUUGAUUAGUAAUCGAUUGUGUA